UACGUAGGUGGCAAGCGUUGUCCGGAAUUAUUGGGCGUAAAGCGCGCGCAGGCGGUUCUUUAAGUCUGGUGUCUAAGUGCGGGGCUCAACCCCGUGUCGCACUGGAAACUGGGGAACUUGAGUGCAGAAGAGGAGAGCGGAAUUCCACGUGUAGCGGUGAAAUGCGUAGAGAUGUGGAGGAACACCAGUGGCGAAGGCGGCUACCUGGACCAGCACUGACACUGAAGCACGAAAGCGUGGGGAGCAAACAGG
rnacentral:rRNA from 1 species